rnacentral:rRNA from 1 species
CUAUACAUGCAAGUCGAGCGAAUGGAUUAAGAGCUUGCUCUUAUGAAGUUAGCGGCGGACGGGUGAGUAACACGUGGGUAACCUGCCCAUAAGACUGGGAUAACUCCGGGAAACCGGGGCUAAUACCGGAUAACAUUUUGAACCGCAUGGUUCGAAAUUGAAAGGCGGCUUCGGCUGUCACUUAUGGAUGGACCCGCGUCGCAUUAGCUAGUUGGUGAGGUAACGGCUCACCAAGGCAACGAUGCGUAGCCGACCUGAGAGGGUGAUCGGCCACACUGGGACUGAGACACGGCCCAGACUCCUACGGGAGGCAGCAGUAGGGAAUCUUCCGCAAUGGACGAAAGUCUGACGGAGCAACGCCGCGUGAGUGAUGAAGGCUUUCGGGUCGUAAAACUCUGUUGUUAGGGAAGAACAAGUGCUAGUUGAAUAAGCUGGCACCUUGACGGUACCUAACCAGAAAGCCACGGCUAACUACGUGCCAGCAGCGGCCGGUAAUAAA